GGAAACUGGUGAUAAUACCGAAUAGACCAUUUAUGCUGGAAUGCUUUUUGGUUCAAAGGCUUCGGCUGCNUAAGGAUGGAUCUGCGGCCUAUCAGGUAGUAGUGGGUGUAAUGUACNUACUAGCNUACGACGGGUACGGGUUGUGAGAGCAAGAGCCCGGAGAUGGAUUCUGAGACAUGAAUCCAGGCCNUACGGGGCGCAGCAGGCGCGAAAACUUUACAAUGCGGGAAACCGCGAUAAGGGGACACUGAGUGCCAGCAUAUUAUGUUGGCUGUCCACAUGUAUAAAAAUCAUGUGUUAGCAAGGGCCGGGCAAGACCGGUGCCAGCCGCCGCGGUAACACCGGCGGCCCGAGUGGUGAUCACUUUUAUUGGGUCUAAAGGGUCCGUAGCCGGUUUGAUCAGUCCUCUGGGAAAUCUGACAGCUCAACUGUUAGGCUUCCAGGGGAUACUGUUAGACUUGGGACCGGGAGAGGUAAGAGGUACUACAGGGGUAGGAGUGAAAUCUUGUAAUCCCUGUGGGACCACCAGUGGCGAAGGCGUCUUACCAGAACGGGUCCGACGGUGAGGGACGAAAGCUGGGGGCACGAACCGGAUUAGAUACCCGGGUAGUCCCAGCCGUAAACGAUGCUCGCUAGGUGUCAGGGACGGUGCGACCGUUUCUGGUGCCGCAGGGAAGCCGUGAAGCGAGCCACCUGGGAAGUACGGCCGCAAGGCUGAAACUUAA
rnacentral:rRNA from 1 species